rnacentral:misc_RNA from 1 species
GAUGAAGAACGCAGCGGAAUGCGAUACUUGGUGUGAAUUGCAGAAUCCCGUGAACCAUCGAGUCUUUGAACGCAAGUUGCGCCCGAAGCCAUUAGGCCGAGGGCACGCCUGCCUGGGCGUCACACGUCGUUGCCCCCCCAUCUACUCCUUCGGGAUUGCGGGGGGCGGAUGAUGGCCUCCCGUGCGCCUCGUCGCGCGGUUGGCAUAAAUGCCAAGUCCUCGGCGACGCACGCCACGACAAUCGGUGGUUGCGAAACCUCGGUUGCCCGUCGUGUGCGGUCGUCGCGCAUCGAGGGCUCGAAAAAAUUGCCGGGCUCCGGCUCGGCUUUCAACGCGACCCCAGGUCAGGCGGGGUUACCCGCUGAAUUUAAGCAUAUCAAUAAGCGGAGGA